rnacentral:rRNA from 1 species
GAUGAACGCUGGCGGCGUGCAUAACACAUUCAAGUCGAACGAACGUAGAGAUACGUUAGUGGCGGACGGGUGAGUAACGCGUGAGCAAUCUGCCUCUGUGUGCGGGAUACCAACUGGAAACGGUUGUUAAUACCGCAUGAUGUAGUCGGUUUGCAUGGACGGACUACCAAAGAUUUAUUGCACAGAGAUGAGCUCGCGUCCGAUUAGGUAGUUGGUGAGGUAACGGCCCACCAAGCCGACGAUUGGUAGCCGAACUGAGAGGUUGAACGGCCACAUUGGAACUGAGAUACGGUCCAGACUCCUACGGGAGGCAGCAGUGGGGAAUAUUGGGCAAUGGGCGAAAGCCUGACCCAGCGACGCCGCGUGAAGGAAGAAGGUCUUCGGAUUGUAAACUUCUGUCAGCAGGGACGAAACAAAUGACGGUACCUGCCGAGAAAGCCACGGCUAACUACGUGCCAGCAGCCGCAGUAACAC